AGGAGGUCACGGGACAGACCCAGCAGUGGACAACGACCCGCACGUAGUGGUCGAGCUGCCGGGGCAGCAGCAGAAGAUUUGCUUCAACAUCGACGAGGAGCCGGGCACCAUCGUCAACCUCAUCGACGACCCCCCCAACGGUCUGGCGGUGGACGCGGAGCUGGUGGCGACGACGCGUGCCGGCAUCAGCUCGCACGAAGCCGCUGGCCACCUACUUUGGGCGCGUGGGGGUCCGCGUGGAGGGGGCGGAGGCCGCCACGGGGGUCACCACGGGGGUCACCACGGGGGUCGCCGUGCGGGUGGAGGUCACCACGGAGUUCGUGCGGCUCACGGACGCCGCGGGAUCCACGACGCUGCCCUGGGGCGGGAACGUCACGCUCGAGAGGGCCGGCCUGACGCUGAAGAUGGCGCCACGUGGCCGCGGCCUGGAGGUGCUGGAGCUGCGUCUGCACACCGACACGCUGCUGAGCGUGCGGCUGCACCGCGUGUCACCGCACCACGUGUCACCGCACCACGUGUCACCGCAGGGACACCCCCCGGAGCGCCGCGACUACCUCGGGGUCUACGUGGCCGGGCCCGGCCGCCUCUCUCCCAGCGCGCACGGCCUG